AAGACUAUAGACCUGCGGAGUACCUGCGGAGGGAUCAUUAGUGAAUAAACUUGUGUGGGUUGUUGCUGACCUCUUCGGGGGUACGUGCACGCCUGCCAUCGUUUCAUUCUCCCUUCCACCUGUGCACUUAUUGUAGAUCAAGCCACUGCACUUCAGGUGUAAAUCACCUGGUAUGAGGACUUGCACGGUUUGCUGCUGUCCCUGCGUGGUCUGGUCUAUGUCUUUAUCAAAUCCAUUGUA
rnacentral:misc_RNA from 1 species